rnacentral:rRNA from 1 species
UGACCUGCGGAGGGAUCAUUACCGAGUUUACAACUCCCAAACCCAAUGUGAACGUUACCAAACUGUUGCCUCGGCGGGAUCUCUGCCCCGGGUGCGUCGCAGCCCCGGACCAAGGCGCCCGCCGGAGGACCAACCAAAACUCUUAUUGUAUACCCCCUCGCGGGUUUUUUUAUAAUCUGAGCCUUCUCGGCGCCUCUCGUAGGCGUUUCGAAAAUGAAUCAAAACUUUCAACAACGGAUCUCUUGGUUCUGGCAUCGAUGAAGAACGCAGCGAAAUGCGAUAAGUAAUGUGAAUUGCAGAAUUCAGUGAAUCAUCGAAUCUUUGAACGCACAUUGCGCCCGCCAGUAUUCUGGCGGGCAUGCCUGUCCGAGCGUCAUUUCAACCCUCGAACCCCUCCGGGGGGUCGGCGUUGGGGAUCGGCCCUGCCUUGGCGGUGGCCGUCUCCGAAAUACAGUGGCGGUCUCGCCGCAGCCUCUCCUGCGCAGUAGUUUGCACACUCGCAUCGGGAGCGCGGCGCGUCCACAGCCGUUAAACACCCAACUUCUGAAAUGUUGACCUCGGAUCAGGUAGGAAUACCCGCUGAACUUAAGCAUAUCAUAAGCCGGAGGAA